rnacentral:rRNA from 1 species
UACGUAGGGUGCAAGCGUUGUCCGGAUUUAUUGGGCGUAAAGGGCUUCUAGGUGGUUUAUUGCGUUAUAUAUGAAAUGUAAUAGCUUAACUAUUAACCUAUAUAUAAUACGGGUAAACUAGAGUGUAAUAGAGGAAAUUGGAAUUCUUGGUGUAGUAGUGAAAUGCGUAGAUAUCAGGAAGAACACCGAUAGCGAAGGCAGAUUUCUAUGUUACAACUGGCACUAAAGAGCGAAAGCAUGGGGAGCGAACAGG